rnacentral:lncRNA from 10 species
AGGACGCUUGCGGCGAGACUCUCCUGCGGGAGCGGGAGGCUUGGGCCUCUCAGGAGGGCACAGGUACGGGGCGCGGGGCGACAGAGGCAGAAACCCAGGCAGCCCCAGACGGCGAGCAGGGCGGGAGAGUGGAAGGGAGGGAGAAGACGGAGAAACAGCGACUGCGACGGGCACAGAGGGAGGACAGAAACGCUGCCCCUUAGGUGGGGAGUGAAACCUCCCGUGAGGGAGCGGCGAGGGCGGCGGGGACGGUGAGAAACGGACAGAGGAGCCCGCGGGAGACAGAAACGGAGGGAAGGGGGCUGACCAUGAGAGAAACGAGGGGGAGAGAGAAGAGAGCACGCGGGAGACUGCAGGGAAGGCGCGGGAGAUGGAGACUCAGAAAACAACCGUAAGAGACAAAGGAAAAGAUACCACAGCGCUGGGCCUGGGGAGAGAACGCAGUGAGAAAUGGAGACGAUGAGAGUAUGAGGUGAUAUAGCAAAACCGACCGUGAAAAAUCGAGUGAGAAGCAGGUGGCGAAGCUGAGAACUGAAAGUGAAAGACAAGAGGACGGAAGAUACAGAAACAGUUUGGGCCCAGUGGCUCCCGCCUGCAAUUCCAGCACUUUGGGAGGCCGCAGCAAGCCGAUGACUUGAGCCCAAGAGUUUGAGACCAGCCUGGGCAACAUAGUGAGAACCCAUCUCGACAAAAAAUCAGGCCGGGAGCAGUGGCUCACCCCUGUAAUCCCAGCACUUUGGGAGGCCGAGGCAGGCGGAUCACGAGGUCAGGAAUUUGAGACCAGCCUGGCCAACAUGGUGAAACCCGUCUCUACUAAAAAUACAAAAAUUAGCCGGGAGUGGUGGCACACGCCUGUAAUCCCAGCUAUUCAGGAGGCUGAGGCAGGAGAAUCACUUGAACCCGGGAGGUGGAGGUUGCAGUGAGCCGAGACCACGCCACUGCACUCCAGCCUGGGCAACACAGCAAGACUCUGUCUCAAAAAAAAAAAUUAGCCAGGCAUGGUGGUGUGCAUCUGUAAUCCCAGCUAUUCAGGAGGCUGAGGUCGGAGGAUCACCUGAGCCUGGGAGUUCAAGGCUGCAGUGAACUGAGAUCGCACCACUGCACUUCAGCCUGGGCAACAGAGCAAGAUCCUGUCUCAAAAAAGAGAGAGAGAAAUUUACCAUGAAAAAUGGAGUGAGAAACAGAGGUGGUGAAGGUGAGAUCUGAAAGAAAAGUGAAAGACUGAGGGGGAAAGACAGAUAAAUUGACCAGGAAAAACUAGGUGAGAAACAGAGAUGAGAGUGUGAGACUGAUAAUGAAACAAAAAGACAGAAGGACAAGGGAGAAAAAAAUAAAGAGAAACUGACCACGAAAACUGGAGUGAGAAAUAGAUGUAAUGAGGGUGAGAAAUUGAAAAAGAAAGACAGGGAAAAAGAAAUGAUGGGAAUAUGAAACUGACAACGAAAGAAAAAAAAUGAGAAAGAUGGUGAGAGAGAGCAAAAGAAAUUACCAUGAAAAAAAUACGGCAUAAAGACGAGUGUGAGAAAUUGAAAAUGAAAGGCAAAAAGAGAUUGGCACAGAGAAGAAAAGAUAGAGAAUUUGAUCAUGGAAAAUGAAGUGAGGCCAGGCAUGGUGGCUCACACUUAUAAACCCAGACAUAAGCCCAGCACUUUGAGAGAGUGAGACAGGAGGAUCGCCUGAGCUCAGGAGUUUGAGACCAGCCUGGGCAACAUAGUGAGCCCGUCUCUACAAAAAUUAAAAAUGAGCCGGGUGUGGUGGCGCACAUCUGUAGUCCCACCUUUUCAGGAAGCUGAGGCAGGAGGAUCGCUUGGGCCCGGGCAGUCAAGGCUGCAGUGAGCUGAGAUCACACCACUGCACUCCAUCCUGGGCAAUACAGAGAUAGAGAUGAUGAGGGUGAGAAAUGGAUAAUGAAAAAAAGAGACCAACAGCAAGUGAGAAACAGGAGCAGAGAUGGAUUCGCAGGGAUCCUGAGAGAUGGGGAUACAAGGAAGACAGGCAAAGAAAAAGGCAGAAGAAUGUGGUGACAGUGAUGUGGGGGCCAAAGCGGGGCGUGGUCCCAGGUGUGGAAGGAGCUGCAGCAGCAAGACAGAGGCCAUAGAGCAGAGGGGGAUGGAGCUGUGGCCCUGGAGGCUGAUUCUGCUGGCCAGAGGGAGGGGAUGGCCAGGGUAAGGAGAGAAGCUGCACUCCAGGAGUCCCCACCUCUGAGCCAUACCAGGCCCGGACCAGAGCGUGAGCUUCAAGAAUGGGUGAGGUUUCGCUUGCUCUGGGGGAGCUGGGGUGGGGACGAUGAUGUGAUGACAGAAUGGCCCUUGGUUGUGGGUUUGACUGAGGGCCCCAGGCUUGCAUAUUGUGUGGCUUACAGGAGGGCCAUGGGCUCAGGAUUGCUGAGCUUAGCCUGAUCUCUUAGAUGGUGUCCUUGGCUCUGAAGAAGUGUCACCAUUGAGCCCAAGGAGGUAAUGCGUUUAGGGUCUCAGGAGCCAAGGAAAACCUUUCCAGGGUGCCCCGAGGCCUCAGCCAGCUCAUUGAGAAGGGUCUUUCUGGAAACCCUGCAGGGAAGCGAAUGGAGGUUUAUGGAGGCCCUCCAUGGCCACCCCAAUCAGGCCUCUCACCUGUGUCCGGCAGGCGCCUUAUUGCUGGGGAGGAGCUACCCGGGCGCCGGGUGGUCCUCCAGGGGAGAGUGUGUCCAGGUACCCCCGCUGUGGUAGUCCCCUUGGCCAGGUCCUCUCUUGAGGUGGGGUCCCAGGUCCAGGGGGGAUAAUCGUCAUAGUCUGUGUAGCCUUUGGAGAAAUUGGGGUAAUGGUUGACCCCAUCCUCUUUCUCAGAGGUCCUUGCUGCUGCUCUUCCCUCCCCUUUUGGAAUCUUCUGGAGCAACUCUGGGAUCUCCCCACCCCGACCCCUCAUACCCAGUUCUUUAGAGUCGACCAUGGUGCCGUCACCUGGCCCCACCCUGACUCCAUUCUCCUGGCCACCCCCGACAACCCCACCACCGCCGCCAUGCCCUGGUACCAGUGCAGGUGAGCCCCACGUCUUCCUCGUGGUCACAGUUGUGCUUCCCCCAAGCCCCCGAGGGGCAGUCGCUCAGUGAGGCCUCGCUUCCCUUACAGCCCAUGUCAUCCAGCCAGAUGGGCCCAGUCCCAGGGCCGUAAUGGGUUUUGCCUACUCGAGGCCGGACCUUUCCACAGCCCAGUUCCCAGCAGGCCACAGUGGCGUCCCGCAGGUCCCAGUUGUCAUCACACACUGUUCCCCAGCGUCCGGCAUGCCACACUUCCAGCCGGCCAGCACAGCGGUUGGGCCCAUCGGCCAGACGAACCCGGAACAGGCCUGCGUGGAAGGCCCUUAGGUCAGGAGGGAGGGUCAGCCUCUCCCAUUCUCUCCCCACACCCCUCACGGCCACUCACCUGAUUCCCCAGUGGUGCUAACACUGGGAGAGGGGGCCGGGUCUUUGGGUGACUCUGGAGACCCUUCUGGGAUCUCAGCAGAUGGCUCCAGGGAGGCCUGAGGGAUACUCUUGAUAGUGGACUCAGAGGUCAUUUCUUGGGGGCCUUGAGUGGUCAGCAUUGCCAUGGUCUUAGUGGUCCGUUCUCGGGGGGCCUGAGGGGUCAGCGUGGCAGUGGUGUGAGAGGUCCAUCUCUGGGGGGCCUCCGUGGUCGGCCUUCUGGUAAACUCAGAGGUAGGUCUUCGGGAGGCCUCAGUGGUCAGUGCUGCAGUGGUCUGUGAGGUUAGGUCUGGGGGGCUUUGGGCCCUGGAGUGUUUCGUGGUUGGCAUCACUGGGGGUUGAGUGGUUGGUCUCUUUGCAUUUUUUGUCACCCACUUCUUAGUACUCUU